rnacentral:rRNA from 1 species
GUGAAAACAAGGCUUCCCGUUCGCUCAGCCCUAUUUAAGCAAGAUACCGGCGGAUUAGUAGUUAGGUGGGUGACCACUAGCGAANNAUUUUUGCA